CGGGGUGAGUAAUGUCUGGGAAACUGCCUGAUGGAGGGGGGUAACUGCUGGAAACGGUAGCUAGUACCGCAUAACGUCGCAAGACCAAAGAGGGGGACCUUCGGGCCUCUUGCCAUCGGAUGUGCCCAGAUGGGAUUAGCUAGUAGGUGGGGUAACGGCUCACCUAGGCGACGAUCCCUAGCUGGUCUGAGAGGAUGGCCAGCCACACUGGAACUGAGACACGGUCCAG
rnacentral:rRNA from 1 species